UGGGGAAUAUUGCACAAUGGGCGGAAGCCUGAUGCAGCGACGCCGCGUGAGGGAUGACGGCCUUCGGGUUGUAAACCUCUUUCAGUAGGGACGAAGCGUGAGUGACGGUACCUACAGAAGAAGCGCCGGCCAACUACGUGCCAGCAGCCGCGGUAAGACGUAGGGCGCGAGCGUUGUCCGGAUUUAUUGGGCGUAAAGAGCUCGUAGGCGGCUUGUCGCGUCGGCUGUGAAAUCCCGUGGCUCAACUGCGGGUCUGCAGCCGAUACGGGCAGGCUAGAGUUCGGUAGGGGAGACUGGAAUUCCUGGUGUAGCGGUGAAAUGCGCAGAUAUCAGGAGGAACACCGAUGGCGAAGGCAGGUCUCUGGGCCGAUACUGACGCUGAGGAGCGAAAGCGUGGGGAGCGAACAGGAUUAGAUACCCCCGUAGUCC
rnacentral:rRNA from 1 species